rnacentral:rRNA from 1 species
UAAGACGAAGGGGGCUAGCGUUGUUCGGAAUUACUGGGCGUAAAGCGCGUGUAGGCGGUUGCCCAAGUCGGGUGUGAAAGCCUUGAGCUCAACUCAAGAAAUGCACUCGGUACUGGGUGACUAGAGGACCGGAGAGGAUAGUGGAAUUCCCAGUGUAGUGGUGAAAUACGUAGAGAUUGGGAAGAACACCAGUGGCGAAGGCGGCUAUCUGGACGGUUUCUGACGCUAAGACGCGAAAGCGUGGGGAGCAAACAGGAUUAGAUACCCUGGUAGUCCACGCCGUAAACGAUGGGUGCUAGGUGUGGGCGGUGUCGACUCCGUCCGUGCCGAAGCUAACGCAUUAAGCACCCCGCCUGGGGAGUACGGCCGCAAGGCUA